AUUGAACGCUGGCGGCAGGCCUAACACAUGCAAGUCGAGCGGGGUUUUCGGACCUAGCGGCGGACGGGUGAGUAAUGCGUAGGAAGCUGCCCGAUAGAGGAGGAUACCAGUUGGAAACGACUGUUAAUACCGCAUAAUGUCUACGGACCAAAGUGUGGGACCUUCGGGCCACAUGCUAUCGGAUGCGCCUACGUGGGAUUAGCUAGUUGGUGAGGUAAUGGCUCACCAAGGCGACGAUCUCUAGCUGGUUUGAGAGGAUGGUCAGCCACACUGGAACUGAGACACGGUCCAGACUCCUACGGGAGGCAGCAGUGGGGAAUAUUGGACAAUGGGCGCAAGCCUGAUCCAGCCAUGCCGCGUGUGUGAAGAAGGCCUUCGGGUUGUAAAGCACUUUCAGCGAGGAGGAAGGGGUGUGUGUUAAUAGUACACACCUUUGACGUUACUCGCAGAAGAAGCACCGGCUAACUCUGUGCCAGCCGCCGCCGUAACAC
rnacentral:rRNA from 1 species